rnacentral:misc_RNA from 1 species
UCCGAUUUGUCACCGGCAGUCUCCCAUGAGUCCCCGACAUUACUCGCUGCCAACAUGUCAAGCCCUGGUAAGGUUCUUCGCUUUGCAUCGAAUUAAGCCACGCGCUCCGCCGCUUGUGCGGGCCCCCGUCAAUUCCUUUGAGUUUUAGCCUUGCGGCCGUACUCCCCAGGCGGGGUGCUUAAUGCGUUAGCUGCGGCACGGAAGUCUUGCGACCCCCACACCUAGCACCCACCGUUUACGGCUAGGACUAC